AUCACUUCCUGUUUAAAAAUGGCUGCACCCUUACUAAUGUCACAUUAGACAAUAGAAGUGCUCUUUUCUGUAAUGUUGAAAACGUGUUUGAUCUCUUACGUAUUCGGUUGACCUAUUUUGCAGGGUAUACCUAAACAUGGUCCAUCUAUCAUCCUUCCUACUGAAGACGUACCACGGAGGACACAUUGUCAUCAGGUUGGCAAUGGCUGGCCACAAACAGUCUAACAGACCUUUCUACCGCAUUGUGGCAGCUUACAACAAGCGAUCACGAGACAGGAAAUACAUAGAACAGCUGGGCUCUUAUGACCCCCUGCCAAACAUCUACAAUGAGAAACUGGUCAGCAUCAACUCUGACAGGAUCAAGUACUGGAUGGGCUGUGGUGCACAUCCAACGAAGCCUGUGGCCAAACUUCUAGGACUGGCUGGGUUCUUCCCCCUGCAUCCCAUGACGGUGACAGAAACAGAGCGUCACAGGGCCCUGGCAGAGCUAGCAGAGGAAGCAGCUCCAGAGGAUGGAGUUAAGCAGCAGCAACUUGGAUAGCUGGAGCAUGAGGGACUGUCAAGCAUAGCAGGGUGUGGUUACUGUACACGAAGGACAGCUAGAAAUGACAUCCUCCUCCCAAAAGAAAUGAAGACUUCAGAAGACCAGUGAAUUGUAAAAUGAUGGAAGACUCUUAAAAACAACUAUUCAACAAAGAGAGAAAUUGAGCUUAAAACAAGUAGACUGGAACUUAAUGACUUGUUGUGACGUAGAGCAGAAUUCAUUAUGCAGAGGAUGUGACACAAAAAUACUGUUCAAGGGAGUAGGCCUAGCCAAUUACUGGAGCUGCAGCUUAAACAUGCUGAAACAUCAAUACAGCUAAUCAGAUCCCCUACUAAAGGACGGAUAUCUGAUCUUACAGAAAUAAAUACGCUUGUAGAGCAUAUUAUUCAGAUUUAUACAGUUCCUCACAUUACUUUGAUACUUCUGUUUGUCGGCAGUUCCUGGAAAACCUUACGCUGCCCAAACUCUGUCAAGAAGAAACAGUUUUAUUAGAGGAACCUCCCACUUUAUCUGAAAUGAAAGCUGCUCUUUUAAAUAUGAAGAAAGACAAAGCGCAUGUUAUUGAUGGAAUACCUCCUGAACUCAUUCUCAACUUUUGGGUUGAGCUAGGAGCAGUUAUUCUUGAAUCGCUUAACAUUGCUAAUGAAAAAGGACAAUUCCACAGAGACAUCAAUACAGCUAUGAUAUCCCUAAUCCCUAAGAAAGGAAAAUACCUCACAAAUUGUGAACAUUUUAGGCCGAUCAGUUUAAUCGGAACAGAAAUUAAGAUAUAUGCCAAAGCUCUCGCCAUGCGCCUAGACAAAGCUCAUACAUCCUGACCAAACAGGGUUCAUUAAGAGUCGCCAGGGAUCCGAUAACAUGCUGUUUCAUUUGGUUGCUGAGGCUUCCAAUCUUGAUACCCUGUGUGCUGUGUUAUCAUUAGAUGCAGAAAAACCCUUUGACUGCUUAGAGUGGGAAUAUUUAUGGCUUGUUCAGUUUUGGGGCUAGAUUUAUACAUAUGAUUCGCACCAUGAAUGUGAAUCCUUCUUCUAUUAUAUCUACAGGCACUACCCAUUCUAAUCUAUUUAUCAUACAACAAGGAUGUAAACAAGGUUGUCCCACCUCCCCUAUGCUACUUGCUCUCUCCCUUGAACCACUGGCACAAAGCAUACGUCAAAAUUAGGCUUCCUCACAUAUCAAAAUCAAUCAAACUGAACAAGCAAUUUCUCUGUAUGCAGAUGACAUUCUACUCUAUGUCACACAUGCUCAGAAAUCACUCCAGCCAAUAAUGUCUAUUUUCACAGCAUUUAGCUCAUGGUCUGGUUACCUUUUUGCUCUUUGUGCUGUUGUCUGUGCCCAAUAAUGUUUGUACCAUGUUUUGAACUGCUACCAUGUGUUGCUAUUUUGUUGUCUUAGGUCUCUCUUUAUGUAGCGUUGUGGUGUCGUUCUUGACGUGAUGUGUAUUUUGUCCUAUAUUAUUAUUAUUAUUUUUAAUCCCAGGCCCGUCCCCGCAGGAGGCCUUUUGCCUUUUGGUAGGCCGUCAUUGUAAAUAAUAAUGUGUUUUUAACUGACUUGUAUAGUUAAAUAAAGGUUAAAUAAAUAAAAUACAAAGUAGGUGUAAU